AACGCGAAGAACCUUACCUGGUCUUGACAUCCACGGAACUUUCCAGAGAUGGAUUGGUGCCUUCGGGAACCGUGAGACAGGUGCUGCAUGGCUGUCGUCAGCUCGUGUCGUGAGAUGUUGGGUUAAGUCCCGCAACGAGCGCAACCCUUGUCCUCCAGUUACCAGCGAGUAAAGUCGGGGACUCUGGAGGGACAAACCCGUUAAGGGUGGGAAGGUGGGGAUGACGUCAAGUCAGUAUGGCCCUUACAUCCUGGGCUGCACACGUGCUACAAUGCUUGGUACAAAAGGACGCGAAACCGCGAGGUGGAGCCAAUCCCCAAAGCCAAGCCCAGUUCAGAUUGGAGUCUGCAACUCGACUCCAUGAAGCCGGAAUCGCUAGUAAUGGUAGAUCAGCUACGCUACCGUGAAUACGUUCCCGGGUCUUGUACACACCG
rnacentral:rRNA from 1 species